rnacentral:tRNA from 1 species
GAAAUUAUAGCCCAGUGGUAGAGUGCAUGGUUAUCAUGCAUGAGGUCCUGGGCUCAAUCCUCAGUACCUCCA